UGUCACCUGAGAAGGGAUUAAAGGAAGAUUAUGGUUAUACAAAAGAUCUGCGCUCAAUAAAGCAAUGGAAAUUAUUCAGUGCCUUGGGCAGAAAACCCCUAUAUAAUUAGAGCUUUAUAAAGACUUGAGCUACUUGCAAUUAAUGGAAAAAGAAUAGCAGGAGACUUGUUAAAGCCACAUACAUGAAUGAAUGGAAACAUUCAGGUCAACCAAAUGCAUUGUGUUACCUUUUCUUGUGAUUCUGUUAGAAAGGUGACUUGAUGAUAUUUAAUGGCAGUGAUUUUUUUUUUUUUUUGGCCUUGUGUGCACAAAUGCUAAAACACUGAACACAAUACUAAAAUUGGCAAAAUAUGUAGGCAAAAGAAUAUUUAUACUGGUUCCUCAUUAAAAGUGGCUGUUGCCUAACAUCAGGAUUUUGCAAUGGUAAAGGAUUUUGCCUCAGUAUCAAAACCUAAUACUUUUUUGUUCCAGAACAGAGACGACUAACUCCCCCUGCUAAAUGAGCAAAGAGGCACUUUUUAAAGUGGCGAUUAUCUUUACUGAGCAGGAGGAGAGCAACUGGCCCUAUCCAUCCCCAGCACAGCAUCCCCCCCAGUGGCUGCUGGUGGUAUUUAUCUUGUGUUUCUUUUUUAGAUUGUGAGCCCUUCCGGGUCAGGGAGCCAUUUUAGCCAUUUUAUUUAUUUAUUUGCUUUAUUUAUUUCUGUGUAAAUGACUUUGUGAAACUUUUGUUGAAAAGCAGUAUAUAAUAAAUGUUUGUCAUAUUCGUAUUUGUAUAAUGAUGUAUAAAACUGUGUGGGGCAGCAGAAACUAACCACAACAUUAAAAGAUCUUUGGAACAAAAGUGACAUUUGUCCCUAUGCUCCAGGUCUUUUGACUACUGGGGUUGACAUUGUCGAAUCCAAGGGAAAGAGUUAUGGUAUGCAAGGACAAGACAGUGGAGUUGCAUCAGGAAUAUUAAUAGUUUAAUGAAAUAGAUAUGAUGUACAGAAAGGCAAGUGCAGUCUGCCUUCAGUGCUCUUGCUGCUGGCUGAUUGUUAGCCCCGCCUCUGCUCCAGGACUAGAAUACAAGUAACUAAAGCUGCAUUUAAAAGCUGGCCUGGAUCAAGGAAUGGAUUAACUGAAAACACCACAGACACGAUGCACAGUUCUCUGUCGUCGGAAGGAGGGCUGCCGAGGGCUACAUGUGUGCCAGCGCCCAGCAGCCUUCAGUUUCCUUGUGCUGAAGGCUGCUCUGUGUAGCAGUCUGGGCACAGAGUGGGAGAGGGGAUUGGUUUUUGCAGCUCUCUCCUGCCUCCCCAAAGCCCUUUCCAGUUGACUGCUGCAUUCCUCUCCACUGUACUUUCAAUUAAUAACAGACCAAUGUCAGGAUAAAGCCUGCUAACAAUAGACAGCCAUCCUCUAUUCCUGCAGGUGCUUGAAUUUUCUGCCACACACAUUUUUGAGGUCAGGAGGAUGUGACUCCUGCUGAAAUCUGCAAAUACAAAGGGAUGAAGACAGAGCCCUACUUCAGCUGAUUGUAUGAUCCCCUGCACAGCACUGCAUCUGAAGUGAUGUGAGGAUGCGUAGAAAUUCUGUCUGGGAUGUUACAUCUGUGAUAGCAGGAAUGGCCCUUUCAUGAGGUGAGGUGCGGUGAGGCAGUCACCUCAGGCAGUGGAUUGAUUGACUGAUUGCUUGAUUGAUUAGUUCCCAUUACAUGGUUAUGUUUAUCAACAGCCUUGUGAGGUAAGUUAGACCGAGAGAUAAGUGCCCUGCCCAAAGUGCCCUGUGAGUUUCGUGGAUGAGUGAGGAUUUGAACUUGGGUCUCUCCAGUUCUAGUCCAACACUCUAACCACUACAUAGAAGCCCUUGACCUUUUAUUUUAUGCGGACCACUCCAUCAUUAUCAAAGCUUUUGUGGACCACCAUGUAAGCAAGCUGUUUUAAACAUUUUUAACAUAGCCUAGGGCUGACAGGAGUCAAACUUAUAUAUCAACAAGGGCUUAUGAAAAAUGAAGCUCUUUCUAAUGAUUUAUUGUCCUCCUCACUCAGAAACAUAUUGUACUUGUCACAGUAUAUUUACCAGCAGUAGGCCUAAUAGUGGGGAAAAGACAAUACCUAAUGAGAAGAAUGCACUUGCAUGGGGCAUUCUGGGACACCUGGGGGCCAGGAGCCCCCUGAUCCCUGCUGCCCCACAUGAUUACCAGCUCAGUGACGGAGCCGGUAAUCAUGUGGGCAGCCAAUAUGGCCACCGAGGGCAAGCUGACUGCUCAUGUGCAGGGAGAGUGGGUCAAGCCUGCUCUCCCCGCAACCCCCCUGCAGGCUCUCUACACUGCUUGUGUGGAGACCCUCUCUGUCUUCUUCAGCAGUGUCCUGAGCUGAUUUAGCUCCUUCCCCACAGCUGCUUUUAAGCUUUUUAAAAGGAGAAGGGCUGAUAUGAUGCACACUGCUAAUGUAGCUGGAGGGCCUUGAGGAGGCGCUGCCGCCGAUGUGGAAGCAGAGGCGCCACUGACUUUAGAGAAUGGGCAGGGGCGUUAGAAAUAUUAUGUAUCUCUGCCCAUUGUAGUGAAUGGGGGAAAGUGUGCCCUGAGAGGAAGGCAUGAAAGUAGGCACCCAGGACAGGGAGACCAUAACUUUGGUCCCCAUAGAGACCAGCUCUGGCCUGUGAGGAUUGUUGGGGCAGCCGCGCCCCCUCCCCCCGCCACCUUCCCAGGAGUACGGAAAGACCAGUGUGCCCUGAGAGGAAGGCAGGAAAAGAUGAGCCCAAGCCAGGGAGCUCUUGUUCUCAGCUCCUGAAAAAAGACCAACAGCCUGAGACGUUUUAUUAAUCUUCUGUAAUUUGCUGCUUUUAAUAUUGUAAACCGCUUUGCUGCCUUUGUCAAGGCAGAAAGGCAGUUAUAAAAAUGUAGCAAAUAAAUAAAUAAUAAAUAAAGGGUUACAACACUUCUAGUGUUGCUGUCUAUUCUCUACAGUGCCACCACUGCUUCCUUGUCUGCAGUAGUGACUUCACACAAGUUACUUGGUCUAUGUUAGUGUACAAUCACGUUAGCCAUUGGGUCCAAUCAUGAAGGUCCAGAGUUGCAUGUACUUGUCUUAGCCACAAGGUGAGGAUUAUGGGUCCGUUAACAAGAGGCUCAGUUAACAAGAUAUACAGUGCUCUUUAGUGUCUGGUUAUUUUAGUGCACGGAAUUGGGUUGAUUCCCCCCGUCUUCCCCAUGAUUGAAUUGGCUAGGUUCAGGCUAGAUGUGCAGACACAAGAAGCCUUUGUUUUUAAAGCGAGUGAUGUCAUGAUAAUAAAUUUUAAAGUGUUUUACAAGCCAGAAGCUCAAUCUUGCUGUUCCCCAUAGGUAAAACUGCUGAAUGCAGUGGGAGUGUUGUCUGUGAGAGAGCCUGGGGUCAGCUAUGUUAUGUUUUACAACUAAUGGUAUGAGCAAGAGUCUGCUUUGAAUAGAAUAGGGAAGCUGGUGUGCAGACACAGAAGCACAGCUAUGGGGAGAAUGAGAUGUUUUGACCUAGGAGGCCAGAAAAGAGAGCUUCAUGCAGAGAAGAUAAGCUCAUCAUUUCUAAGGUGUCAUCGGAAAGACUUGUACUCCUUGAACUCCAAGCUCUGCUGUGAUGGGAAAUCCACUUAAGGAGACGCCAUUGCCUUCUUUGGAAAGUGCUUAUAUUCACAGACAGUGUUACGCUUCUUAUUUUGAAAUACUCCCAUUGACUUCAGUGAAGCUAUUCCAAUAAAUGGUCUGAGUCUGAUAAACUAAAUGGAGGAGGACUGUGAUGGCAUUUCAGUUGCAUGCUUGUAUCUGUCUUGUGGUGUAUUUAUCUCUUUACAUUAAUAGCCUUAAAACUG